GAAGUAAAAGUCGUAACAAGGUCUCCGUUGGUGAACCAGCGGAGGGAUCAUUACUGAGUUUACGCUCUACAACCCUUUGUGAACAUACCUAUAACUGUUGCUUCGGCGGGUAGGGUCUCCGCGACCCUCCCGGCCUCCCGCCUCCGGGCGGGUCGGCGCCCGCCGGAGGAUAACCAAACUCUGAUUUAACGACGUUUCUUCUGAGUGGUACAAGCAAAUAAUCAAAACUUUUAACAACGGAUCUCUUGGUUCUGGCAUCGAUGAAGAACGCAGCGAAAUGCGAUAAGUAAUGUGAAUUGCAGAAUUCAGUGAAUCAUCGAAUCUUUGAACGCACAUUGCGCCCGCCAGCAUUCUGGCGGGCAUGCCUGUUCGAGCGUCAUUUCAACCCUCAAGCUCUGCUUGGUGUUGGGGCCCUACAGCCGAUGUAGGCCCUCAAAGGUAGUGGCGGACCCUCCCGGAGCCUCCUUUGCGUAGUAACUUUACGUCUCGCACUGGGAUCCGGAGGGACUCUUGCCGUAAAACCCCCCAAUUUUCCAAAGGUUGACCUCGGAUCAGGUAGGAAUACCCGCUGAACUUAAGCAUAUCA
rnacentral:rRNA from 1 species